AUUGAACGCUGGCGGCAUGCCUUACACAUGCAAGUCGAACGGCAGCACGGGAGCAAUCCUGGUGGCGAGUGGCGAACGGGUGAGUAAUAUAUCGGAACGUGCCCAGUCGUGGGGGAUAACGUAGCGAAAGCUACGCUAAUACCGCAUACGAUCUAUGGAUGAAAGCGGGGGAUCGCAAGACCUCGCGCGAUUGGAGCGGCCGAUAUCAGAUUAGGUAGUUGGUGGGGUAAAAGCCUACCAAGCCUUCGAUCUGUAGCUGGUCUGAGAGGACGACCAGCCACACUGGGACUGAGACACGGCCCAGACUCCUACGGGAGGCAGCAGUGGGGAAUUUUGGACAAUGGGCGCAAGCCUGAUCCAGCAAUGCCGCGUGCAGGAAGAAGGCC
rnacentral:rRNA from 1 species